CCUACGGGUGGCAGCAGUAGGGAAUCUUCCACAAUGGGCGAAAGCCUGAUGGAGCAACGCCGCGUGGGUGAAGAAGGUCUUCGGAUCGUAAAACCCUGUUGUUAGAGAAGAAAGUGCGUGAGAGUAACUGUUCACGUUUCGACGGUAUCUAACCAGAAAGCCACGGCUAACUACGUGCCAGCAGCCGCGGUAAUACGUAGGUGGCAAGCGUUAUCCGGAUUUAUUGGGCGUAAAGGGAACGCAGGCGGUCUUUUAAGUCUGAUGUGAAAGCCCUCGGCUUAACCGGAGUAGUGCAUUGGAAACUGGGAGACUUGAGUGCAGAAGAGGAGAGUAGAACUCCAUGUGUAGCGGUGAAAUGCGUAGAGAUAUGGAAGAACACCAGUGGCGAAGGCGGCUCUCUGGACUGUAACUGACGCUGAGGUUCGAAAGCGUGGGUAGCAAACAGGAUUAGAUACCCCUGUAGUC
rnacentral:rRNA from 1 species